rnacentral:rRNA from 1 species
CUAAGUUUGAUGGCGACCGGCGCACGGGUGAGUAACACGUAUCCAACCUGCCGAUGACUCGGGGAUAGCCUUUCGAAAGAAAGAUUAAUACCCGAUGGGCAUAGUUCUUCCGCAUGGUAGAACUAUUAAAGGAUUUCGGUCAUUGAUGGGGAUGCGUUCCAUUAGGUUGUUGGCGGGGUAACGGCCCACCAAGCCUUCGAUGGAUAGGGGUUCUGAGAGGAAGGUCCCCCACAUUGGAACUGAGACACGGUCCAAACUCCUACGGGAGGCAGCAUG